rnacentral:lncRNA from 1 species
UUGUCCUAAAAUCAUUAUGAUGCAUCUUCAAGCAAUUGCAUGAAGCAUGCAACCCCAUACUAACAGUUACAUAUAUCCAUAGAAUCCAAGCAAUAUCUCAAUAGGAAUGAUCUUGUGGGAAAACAUAUGAUAUUUAACGUCUAUUAGAGAUUCAAAACAAAUAUCCAAACAUUGCUUAAUAUAAAAUGAACAGUAAACAAAAUCCCUCUCCACAUAACCCAAAACAUAAUUUUUAACUUGCAAAAUAGUAUGGCAAAAAACAAACUAACAUCAACCCUACAUCGAUUGUUCAGUCUAUGAUAUUUAACGUCUAUUAGAGAUUCAAAACAAAUAUCCAAACAUUGCUUAAUAUAAAAUGAACAGUAAAAAAAAUCCCUCUCCACAUAACCCAAAACAUAAUUUUUAACUUGCAAAAUAGUAUGACAAAAAACAAACUAACAUCAACCCUACAUCGAUUGUUCAGUCUUAAAUUCUUGACAAAUUCUUCCAAGCAAACAGUGUCAUGAGGGAAGAUUACUUCUGAUUUCACUAAAAGCUAAAUGGACACAAAAAUAAAGUGCCAGACAUUUAAGAGUCGGCAAUGGUAACCUCCACUUCCACGCCAGGUUCAAUGGUAAUGGAAGUGAUCUGCUUCACGACAUCAGGGGAGCUAAAGAGAUCAAUAACUCUCUUGUGAACACGGAGCUCAAAUCUGUCCCAAGUGUUGGUUCCUGCAAACAGAGUAUAAAUGCUUUUCAUGACUAAAUAACUCAGCAACACAGUUGUAAUAUAGCAUUCUGAGUACAUGUUAAAGGACAGUAGAUCAAAUACCCUAUUACUCAAAAACAGAAUACUUAAGAAACACAGGGAAGACCAUUCUUGACAUUUAAACAAUAAGUCACUGUACAUCAUUCAAGUGUCAAUUCUAUAAACAAAUAAUCAGAUUAUGCAAUCCCACAAAUGUUAACAAGAGAAACAAGAACAAGAGAUAUAGUGAUCAAAACUGUCAAACAGCACAUCUGUACGUCGAGAAAGUUUAUGGCAGCAUUUGAGGAUUUUUUUUUUUUAUUAUUACAAACAAGAAAAAAAACAAAGAAAGCACAUAUGAAGAGUACAGUUUCAAGACUUAAAUAAAAUAAAUAAGGAAUUCAAAGGAUGCAAUAAAAUGCCAGUUAAUUAGACUUCAGGUCAUUACCUUCACCACAAGGGGACUUCCUAGUGGUGAUGUGAAGAACCUUGGUAGGCAUCCUCACU